rnacentral:ncRNA from 1 species
AUAUGAUAGGGGUUAAUGUGUUAAUAAUCACCUAACCCAACGCUUGAAUCUACACCCCCCUAACCUUCUAAAUCAUUGACCCAUAAUCCAUAACCCUUCUAAAGACACAAUGUGAUUUAUUCCCAUUUCUCUGCAUGUCAAAGUGAAGAAAUUCAACCAAAGGGAAAUGACGGGAGUAACUGUGACUAUAUUAAGGUAGCCAUAUGCCUCGUCAUCUAAUUAGUGACGUGCAUGAAUGGAUCAUUAAUGAGAUUCCCCACUGUCCCUAGCUACUAUAUUCUAGAGAAACCACAUCCAAGGGAAUGGGCUUGGCAGAAUUAGCGAGGAAAGAAGACCCUCAUGUUGAGCUUGACUCUAGUCCUAACCCAUUCAUAGUUUAGGAAAAUUAGGGCAUAGUUUGGGAAAAUUAGACCAUAACAUUUGUCUUUAGGAGUCAAAAUGAUGAUGGAAAUAAGUGGGUGUGUGAGUCAAAUUUGAGUCCAGAAACCCUCCCAUAUCGUUAAGGCAUGUGAAUAGUCUAUCUACGAUCAUGAUGGUAUAAAAAUGAAUGAGCUUCUCUU